rfam:Nicotiana sylvestris Nsyl_contig96856, whole genome shotgun sequence.
AACUCUCGGCAACGGAUAUCUCGGCUCUCGCAUCGAUGAAGAACGUAGCGAAAUGCGAUACUUGGUGUGAAUUGCAGAAUCCCGUGAACCAUCGAGUCUUUGAACGCAAGUUGUGCCCGAAGCCAUUAGGCCGAGGUCACGUCUACCUGGGCGUCA